rnacentral:rRNA from 1 species
AACUUUCAACAACGGAUCUCUUGGCUCUCGCAUCGAUGAAGAA